rnacentral:tRNA from 1 species
UCCCUGGUGGCUCAGACGGUAAAGCGUCUGUCUAGAAUGCGGGAGACCUAGGUUCGAGCCCUGGGUUGGGAA